GUGCUCAAAUCAGGAGUGAAGGGACCAUUGAGGGAAGGGGUAAGUUCCGAAAGGUUGAUGUCAAUUAUUUGAUCAUAUUUAGCCCCAGUAUCAGCAGCAAGGUAGUUGUAUUCACUAUGAACCUCCGACGCAGCAUCGGCGACCUCUGCACGGUGUGUGGCAAUUAGAUAGCGACGCAUAGAAUCGGUAUAAGGAAAGAUUGAGGUGGUUGCACCGACUUCAGCGCCCAUAUUACAAACAGUAGCCAUACCAGUGCAAGAGAGGGACGCAACACCAGGGCCAAAGUAUUCAAUAAUAUGACCGGUACCACCACGAACGGUAAGCUUACCAGCCAAAUGAAGUAUAAGGUCUUUUGGAGUAGUCCAGCCAGACAUAGCGCCCGUAAGGUUGACACCGAUGAUUUUGGGAGCUUUUAACUCCCAUGGUGUAUUGGUCAUAGCAUCGACGGCAUCGGCACCACCAACGCCAAUGGCAAUCAUACCCAAACCACCAGCGUUGGGAGUAUGAGAAUCUGUUCCAAGCAUCAUUCCACCAGGAGCGGCAUAGUUUUCUAGCACGAUUUGGUGAAUAAUGCCACUUCCUGGGCCCCAAAACUGUAUGCCGUACUUUUUAGCGGCACUUUGCAAAAAAUCAAAAAUCUCCUUGUUAUUGGCGAUGCUAUCGGGGAUAUCACUGUUGGCACCACGAUGACCAACAAUCAAGUGGUCACAAUGAAUGCUAGCGGGAAUCAUAGUUUUUUCAAGACCACACGUCAUAAACUGAAGCAAGGCCAUUUGAGCAGAGGCAUCCUGCAUGGCUACACGAUCGGGAUUCAGUUUGAGGUACAAGGAGCCACGAAUGUCUGAAGGAGAGACACCACUGAAGCUCUCUUCAGGGUUAACCAAAUGAGAAUAAAGGACCUUUUCCGCCAAAGUGAGCUUUUGACCAGGAAGAAACUUGCGAACUUGUUGGAGUUUCCCCAUCAACUUCUCAUAUGGCGGUGUCACAUAGGAAGCCCUCGAAGCAGUGCUUUGGAAUCGAGCUGCAACCAAACUAAUUCCUUUGGAUGGAAUUGCCUGCGAAGAGCCCGAAAGGCAAAGCUUCAUUCUAGCGAAUGUAGCCAUGUUGUUGCUUUUUUUUUGGUGGAGUGCAAAGGAGGAACGAGGAACGAAUCAAAAAAAGUCUUUUUAACAAAAAACAUUCAUGUUAAAUCACUACAAACAAAUACACAAAACUUACUAAGAAAAAAUUAAAGAAAAUCUUUAAACUUUCCAAAUGUUUGUCGCUAACAAUAUCAUUCAUCAUUAGGUCGAUCUCUCUUUUGUUUAUUAGAUGAAUAGAUGGGAGAACAUCCUUCCAUACCUCUUAGCAAUACGCACGACCUCCUUUUCUUUUCCAAUCUCAGAAUAAUUCCAUCGUUCUCGUUAUCACUGUUUAUUAAGUAAUAACGAUGUCGGUAAAUCU